rnacentral:lncRNA from 1 species
GGAUAUACCUCGAAAACACCCAAAAGCGUUGACAAAUUCUUAACCAAACGUGUUUCAGAAAGAUAAUCGCAAAUAACCAAGCGAUAACAACUUAUUACCCAACGGAUAAAAACCUAAAGCCCACUUGGGGUGACUUACGAGGCGAUAUUCUCCCUCUUCUCUCUAAACGAAAGAGGGUCCUCUUUAAACAGCCUUUUUGUUUUUGUUUUUUUCUUAAAAUGUGAAUUUUAUUUAUUAACAAAACAAAAUUGUUAUGAAAGUCUAGAUUAAUACAAUCAAUUUUUAAAACAUGGCAAACAUGUCAUUUUAUUUAUUUAUAAAACAAAAUUGUUAUGAAAGUCUAGUCUCAUUUCUUUUUUUUUUUUUUUUUUUUUUUUUUUUUGAAUUAUACAGAGGUAUCCUGGCCUCACAGAAGUGAUCCAGACUAGUCACGUGUUGCCACGUGUCGGUCCUCUGUCCCUGGCGAUGCCGAAAUGUUAAUUCCCCAGUGGCCGGGAUUCGAACCCAGGUGGCGGUACUCACAGCUGUAAGCCCUUUACCACUAGAGCUAGAAGCCCCGGUUAAUCUAGU